GUAACAGAGGGUUCGAUUAUGGCUCAGAUUGAACGCUGCUGGCGGGAUGCUUUACACAUGCAAGUCGAACGGCAGCACGGUGAGGGCGAGUGGCGAACGGGUGAGUAAUGUAUCGGAACGUGCCUAGUAGCGGGGAUAACUACGCGAAAGCGUAGCUAAUACCGCAUACGCCCUUCGGGGGAAAGCGGGGGACCUUUGGCCCCUGCACUAUUAGGAGCGGGCCGAUAUCGGAUUAGCUAGUUGGUGGGGUAACGCUCACCAAGGGCGACGAUCCGUAGCUGGUUUGAGGAGGACGACCAGCCACACUGGGACUGGAGACACGGCCCAGACUCCUACGGGAGGCAGCAGUGGGGAAUUUUGGACAAUGGGGGAAACCCUGAUCCAGCCAUCCCGCGUGUGCGAUGAAGGCCUUUCGGGUUGCAAAGCACUUUGGCAGGAGAAAAGAAACGGCACGGGAUAAUACCCCGUGCAACUGACGGUACCUGCAGAAUAAGCACCGGCUAACUACGUGCCAGCAGCCGCGGUAAUACGUAGGUGCAAGCGCGCGUUAAUCGGAAUUACUGGGCGCAAAGCGUGCGCAGGCGGUUCGGAAAGAAAGAUGCAGUGAAAUCCCAGAGCUUAACUUUGGAACUGCAUUUUUAACUACCGAGCUAGAGGUGUCAGAGGGAGGUGGAAUUCCAUGUGUAGCAGUGAAUGGCGUAGAUAUGCGUGGAGGAACACCGAUGGCGAAGGCAGCCUCCUGGGAUAACACUGACGCUCAUGCACGAAAGGCGUGGGGAGCAAACAGGAUUAGAUACCCUGGUAGUCCACGCCCCUAAACGAUGUCAACUAGCUGUUGGGGCCUUCGGGCCUGGUAGCGCAGCUAACGCGAAGUUGACCGCCUGGGGAGUACUGGGUCGUGAAGAUUAAACUCAAAGGAAUUGACGGGGACCGCACAAGCGGUGGAUGAUGUGGAUUAAUUGAUGCAACGCGAAAACCUUACCUUACCCUUGACAUGUCUGGAAUCCCGAAGAGAUUUGGGAGUGCUCGCAAGAGAACCGGAACACAGGUGCUGCAUGGCUGUCGUCAGCUCGUGUCGUGAGAUGUUAAAGUUAAGUCCUCGCAAAACGAGCGCAACCCUUGUCAUUAGUUGCUACGAAAGGGCACUCUAAUGAGACUGCCGGUGACAAACCGGAAGGUGGGGAUGACGUCAAGUCCUCAUGGCCCUUAUGGGUAGGGCUUCACACGUCAUACAAUGGUCGGGACAGAGGGUCGCCAACCCGCGAGGGGAGCCAAUCCCAGAAACCCGAUCAGUCCGGAUCGCAGUCUGCAACUCGACUGCGUGAAGUCGGAAUCGCUAGUAAUUCCGCGGAUCAGCAUGUCGCGGUGAAUACGUUCCCGGGUCUUGUACACACCGCCCGUCACACCAUGGGAGUGGGCUUACCAGAAGUAGUUAGCUCAACCGUAAGGAGGGCGAUUACCACGGUAGGAUUCAUGACUGGGGUGAAGUCGUAACAAGGUAA
rnacentral:rRNA from 1 species